GAUAUAUGACACUCGGCAAAGCUACUGUUUGCCGGCGAAAAAUUCAUCGAGUCCUGGUCGCCGAGUGUUACACUCGGCAAAGUUGUUGCGGAGUGUUUUUGGAGCUUCACCGAGUGCCUGGGGCACUCGGCAAAGCUACUGUUUCCCGUAGUGAGGCUUCAAGCAUCCCAAAUUUGCCAACUACUUCGGCUCUGCUUCUAUAUAAGGUACCUCUUAUCUUUACCUAGACUCAGCCAUCCAUAUAUUCCAACAACUUACAGUACUAUAUGUUUCUCUUCAAUUCCUACCAUUUUCUCCACACUACCUACACCUUGUAUAAUUCCUAAGAAUGAGCCACACAGUGCAUGACUAUGCAACGGGUCGGCGCACACAAUCUCGGCUUUGAGAAUGGGCGGCAUCUAGAAACCAUAGUCUGCCAUCAGCGAAGCACUUUGGGCGAAAGGACAGACACCAAGCAUUAGCUGGCUCGGAGAACAAAUUUCGUUACCCAUUCCUAUUGCAUUCCAUGGCUAAUUAUAACUCCAUACCUGAUGCCGUAUUGCAGAGGAUACUGAUCCGUGCUUCUCAUAAAUUGGGCAAAAACUACCUUCAUGCUUCUUGCUUUCUACUUUCACACGGC
rnacentral:lncRNA from 1 species